AGUGAACGCUGGCGGUAGGCCUAACACAUGCAAGUCGAACGGCAGCACAGUAAGAGCUUGCUCUUACGGGUGGCGAGUGGCGGACGGGUGAGGAAUACAUCGUAAUCUACUUUUUCGUGGGGGAUAACGUAGGGAAACUUACGCUAAUACCGCAUACGCCCUACGGGUGAAAGCAGGGGAUCUUCGGACCUUGCGCGAUUGAAUGAGCCGAUGUCGGACUGGCUAGUUGGCGGGGUAAAGGCCCACCAAGGCGGCGAUACGUAGCUGGUCUGAGAGGAUGGUCAGCCACACUGGAACGGGAACACGCUCCAUACUCCUACGGGAGGCAGCAGUGGGGAAUAUGGGACAAUGGGCGCAAGCCUGAUCCAGCCAUACCGCGUGGGUGAAGAAGGCCUUCGGGUUGUAAAGCCCUUUUGUUGGGAAAGAAAAGCAGCAGGUUAAUACCCCGCUGUUCUGACGGUACCCAAAGAAUAAGCACCGGCUAACUUCGUG
rnacentral:rRNA from 1 species